CUACGGAGGGUGCAAGCGUUGUUCGGAAUUACUGGGCGUAAAGCGCGCGUAGGCGGUCUGUUAUGUCAGAUGUGAAAGUCCUCGGCUCAACCGGGGAAGUGCAUUUGAAACUGGCAGACUUGAGUACUGGAGGGGGUGGUGGAAUUCCCGGUGUAGAGGUGAAAUUCGUAGAUAUCGGGAGGAAUACCGGUGGCGAAGGCGACCACCUGGCCAGAUACUGACGCUGAGGUACGAAAGCGUGGGUAGCAAACAGGAUUAGAAACCCCAGUAGUCC
rnacentral:rRNA from 1 species